GAUGAACGCUGGCGGCGUGCUUAACACAUGCAAGUCGAACGGAAAGGCUCCGCUUUGCAGGGGUACUCGAGUGGCGAACGGGUGAGUAACACGUGGGUGAUCUGCCCUGCACUUCGGGAUAACCGUGGGAAACUGGGGCUAAUACCGGAUAGGAGGAUGGGUUGGAUGGUGAUGUUGGGAGAUUUUCGGUGUGGGUUGAGCUAGCGGCGUAUCAGCUUGUUGGUGGGGUAGUGGCCUACUAAGGCGUCGACGGGUAGUCGGCCUGAGAGGGUGUACGGCCACAUUGGGACUGAGAUACGGCCCAGACUCCUACGGGAGGCAGCAGUGGGGAAUAUUGCACAAUGGGCGCAAGCCUGAUGCAGCGACGCCGCGUGGGGGAUGACGGCCUUCGGGUUGUAAACGCCUUUCGCUAGGGACGAAGCGCAAGUGACGGUACCUGGAGAAGAAGCACCGGCUAACUACGUG
rnacentral:rRNA from 1 species